rnacentral:rRNA from 1 species
AUGAACGCUGGCGGCGUGCCUAAUACAUGCAAGUCGAGCGAACGGACGAGAAGCUUGCUUCUCUGAUGUUAGCGGGGGACGGGUGAGUAACACGUGGAUAACCUACCUAUAAGACUGGGAUAACUUCGGGAAACCGGAGCUAAUACCGGAUAAUAUUUUGAACCGCAUGGUUCAAAAGUGAAAGACGGUCUUGCUGUCACUUAUAGAUGGAUCCGCGCUGCAUUAGCUAGUUGGUAAGGUAACGGCUUACCAAGGCAACGAUGCAUAGCCGACCUGAGAGGGUGAUCGGCCACACUGGAACUGAGACACGGUCCAGACUCCUACGGGAGGCAGCAGUAGGGAAUCUUCCGCAAUGGGCGAAAGCCUGACGGAGCAACGCCGCGUGAGUGAUGAAGGUCUUCGGAUCGUAAAACUCUGUUAUUAGGGAAGAACAUAUGUGUAAGUAACUGUGCACAUCUUGACGGUACCUAAUCAGAAAGCCACGGCUAACUACGUG